rnacentral:pre_miRNA from 2 species
CAGCAGCAAUUCAUGUUUUGAAGUGCUGUAAAGGGUUCAAAACGUGAGGCGCUGCUAUA